UGCCAGCAGUCAAGGAGGAAGGAGCUUUCUGUCAUGGAAGAGAGGCGAAGCCUGAUGCAGGAGCAGUGUCUGACUGCGAUGAGAUGAAGAAUUCCCGGGAUAACUCUGCCCAUUCUUAUGCCAUGAGCUUUGUAAAUCUGGCCCUGGAAUGGAAGUUCUGGAAGGAAUGCAAGAUACAAGAAAACACAUCUACCCCAUAGAGAUUGAGACCCUGUUUCAGCCUGCUGACUUAUGUUUCAUAGAAACAAAAAACCAACAGAGUUGCACUCUGCUUCAAAAACUAAAAGUUCAAACAAAGAGAAAUAGUAAAUCAAGAUGUCUACAGCAUCACAUGGAAUGGUCCAGAACACUAGUGUAAUACUAAGUUGCACAAAGAAACACAGGUGAACAAACCUUCAGAGAUAGAAGCAAAGAAGAGGACUUAAAGGAAACCAGCAAACCAUCCCAUUCUCCUUUAGAAUCUAAACAGAAACAGCUUUAAAAAAAUGUUUAGAGCCAAAACUUGCAAGACAUCCCCAUGGAACCAUCAGCAUCAAGGAUUUAACUUUAAAAGUGACUCGGAAAAAGAUGCCAUGUAAACAAUGCAGAAAUAUAUUUAAAUCAACUCUUAAUAUACAAUAGAAGUCAUGGAAAUAGAGUUUUCAAAAUUUGGUUUAACUUUAAAAACUUAAACAAAAUGGAGGGCAUUAUAACAGCCAAAAGAAAACUUUUGUACCCACAAUAAAUCUCUUUCCAUUUUUUCUUUUUUGUAUAUCAUAUAUCAAAUCACUGAAUGCUCGUGAAUGAGAGCCUGGUAUUUUCACUGCUACAGUUGUGUGGUUGAAGGAUAUUGUGCCUUCCUUUAUUAUAAAUUUGAUUUUAGUCUUAAUUUCAUAGGCACUUGAUUGCACACCAAAAUGCAUAUGUAGAUAUCCCAAGAUAUGUAUAUGUGCCCAACACAUGUGUCCAAGACCAAUUUGUUUGACUGAUAUUAAUGUAGAAAAGAUUUGCUAAUUGCUAUACAGGGGAGACUGGUAUAAAUUAAGAUCUGGUGUAAAUAGUCUUGGCUCUACUGAGGCCAAUGGACCUGCUAUCAUUGUACCUGAAUUUGUCCUUGUUAAUGUGAAUACAGAACACAAAAGAGGACACAACACAGAUUUUUACUGCGCUUGGGGAGAGAUGGGGAGGUAGAAGGGAAGUUCAAAAGCACCUACACAAUUUAAAGAGCCCACAUCCCACUGAUUUUUCUAAGCCCCAAUCGAUUUGUCUGUUGUUAAGUCAUGGGCCACAGUUAAGUCCCCAGAAAAAUAAGUAUGUUUGACAUAUCAUAGGUAUAGCCCCAUUCUUAUUAAAAGUAAUAUCUUACAACCACUAAUGCAUUUCGUGUCACAGUAUAUCUGUGAGAGACAGAAGUGCCAUUAUCUUCAUUUUACAGAAGGGAAACUGAGGUGCAGAAAAGAUAGGAAAUGGAGAUAAGUCUUCUGAGUGUCACAAGGGCAACAUGGAUGGAAAUGGGAAGGAGAUGGAUUCCUGUCACUGCCCAACUGUGUUCUGAUCACCAGCCACAGCAGGUAUGUCUGAUGCCCCCAAAUGCAAGUCCUAUCUCAGUAAGCACUAAGAAACCAUCCUUCCUCAUCCUGACAUUUUUCCCUUAAAACACAGUUCUUGUAUAGCACAUGGGCUACUGCAGUACAAAUCAUUUUUUGAGCAGAAUACAGGUAAAACUGAAUUUCAGU